rnacentral:rRNA from 1 species
UACGUAGGAGACGAGCGUUGUCCGGAGUUACUGGGCGUAAAGGGUGCGCAGGCGGCCUUGCGCGUCGCGAGUGAAAUCUCCCGGCUCAACUGGGAGGGUGGUCGCGAGACGGCAGGGCUUGAGGCUCGGUGAGGGGGCGUGGAAUUCCGGGUGGAGCGGUGAAAUGCGUAGAGAUCCGGAGGAACACCGACGGCGUAGGCAGCGCCCUAGACGAGACCUGACGCUCAGGCACGAAAGCGCGGG